GCCUGUAUAGCUCAAUGGUAGAGCAGUUAUAAUCUUAAAUUUGUCCCUAGAUCGGUAUAUACAAAGUUCAGAUUAUAAAAGGAAGAAGUCAUAUGCCAUUGCAAUGUCGUAUGACGGGGGUUCGAAUCCCCUCUACAGGCA
rnacentral:tRNA from 1 species